UAACCUUGCUACCCGUUUGUUGGGUGCUAGAACAAAACAAAAUAGCUGAUGGUGGGUUCUUGUGACACAUACAUGUGCAUCUUUGCAUAUGUGUCUGUUGUUUGCCGGCUGAACAAAAUCUGCUGAAAAGGAAAUUAAAGAAUAUCCGGUUUAUUUGACUGGAAAUAAGACAUGGCGUCUACCCUGCCAUCUAACUCAACAA